rnacentral:rRNA from 1 species
UGAGCAAUCUGCCCUUCACAUCGGAAUAACCAUUGGAAACGAUGGCUAAUACCGAAUAUGACUUCGGAUCGCAUGAUCUGAAGUGGAAAGCUCCGGCGGUGAAGGAUGAGCUCGCGGCCUAUCAGCUAGUUGGUGUGGGUAACGGCCCACCAAGGCGACGACGGGUAGCCGGCCUGAGAGGGUGACCGGCCACACUGGGACUGAGACACGGCCCAGACUCUACGGGAGG